GAAAACCCACGCAGGCACGGGGAGAACAUGCAACCUCCAAACAGGUGGCGCCAGGAUUCGAACCCCGGUCCUCAGAACUGUGAGGCCGAUGUGUUAACCAGUCGUCCACCGUGCCGCCACAUAGAGGUUAGCCCUUCCAUUUUAUUCGCAAUAGUUAUAAUUAUGAUCGAGACUUUGCACACACGUGCUUGCAGGGUAGCAAAGCAAAGCAAAGCAAAGCUAAUGUAUUUAUAUAGCGCAUUUAUGUGCUUCACAUGAUUAAAAGCAUUUAAAAACAAAGGGAAAAACAGCUUAUAAACAUUUAAAACAAAGAGAAAAUAAAAUAAAAACACAAUUCAAACAGCAUACAAUGCAAGAAAUAUCAGCAGUUGGAUAAGACAGCAGACGCGAGUUACCGACGUCAUUCAAAAAAUCAAAAGGCUUAAAUGGAAAUGGGCUGGCCACGUUGCCCGAAGAGCUGACAAAAGGUGGACCACAGAAACUAUCAAUUGGAUCCCACUGGACACAAAGCGACCACGGCGAAGACCCAAAAAUAAAUGGAUAGAUGAAAUGAUUAAACACACCGGAACACCCUGGCCACAAAUUGCAAAAUGUCGUAGUGGUUGGAAAACGUGGAUCCUGCAGUGGAUAGAUAAUGGCUGAUGAUGAUAUAGAUAUCUAUAUAUAUACUCUAUGCAACAAGGUUUGACCAUUGGGCAAGUUUUUGGGUUGAUCUGUCGUUCAAACAUUGAGACAUUUGUAAAUGUGGGUUCCACUGUACAUGAACUCUAUUUAGAGUUGUAUUAGAUGUACAGGGGUCCUCGGUUUAUGAAGGAGUUGAGUUACUUUGGCGUUUAGGUAACCCGCAUUUUUACCCAAAGUCAGAACAAGCUGUAAGCUAGCUCCCGCCUAUGCUAAAGUCCUAAUUACAGUGAGUAUUUUCUAUGAAAAACACUUCUCGGACAUACAGUAUCGAGGCUACAAAUAUAAAACACUCAAAUGAAGCACGACAAAUCUGGGCUUUGUUUUUCUGUUUUAUGACAUAUUCUCAUGCCGCAAACUGGUCCCACCUUCAGAAUGUCGUUUACCUGGACCAUCGCAAACCAUAAACCUCCUGCAAUUAAGAUUGUGCAAGUUUUGGUUUGAUAAAAAUGCAGGAAUAAUUGAUCUCUAAACACCAUCAUAUUUACACAAGUGAAACUGACAAUCAGCAAUACAUGUCUGAGUGCAGUUUACUCAUCUCGGAGUUAGCUCUCUUCAGCCAUCAAACAGCUACUUCAUUUUAUGGUGUCAAGGAUUAUAGAGAGCUGACAUUAUCCCAUUCAAAAGCCAUCAGUCUUUAUGGAUGAUGUGAUUGCCUUAUUGUACUCCCCAAAUCCUUUUUUACACCCUUGUUAUGCACAUGUAACCACAAUAAGAUGGGUUGCAGUGUGCAAUGUCAUGUACUAUUGAGCUGUCAGUGCUAUAGGCCAUGCUGAAAUAUGUCAUAUGCAGCAGUGACAGCGUUGACUCAGGCUCAGGUGCCUUGCUUCAAAAGAGGUCUUGCAAAUAGACCCAUGCGGCCAAUUAUACUUCCCAGUUUUGGGAGAAAAUAAGUAACGUUGUUUUAAUGCACAACAAGAGACAAUGAAUGUUUUACUCAGAUGAAGGUUCAUGGUUAACAACAGCAUAAACAGAUUCGAUAGCCGCCCAAAUGUAGAAAUGCUGCUUCUAGUGGUGUCCCGGUACCAAAAUUCUGACUUCAGUACUUUACCUGCAUACUGUAAAGUAUCUCUCUACUGGUACUGACAUGACACCACGGCAAGAAUCUAAAACUUCAGGAAAAGCAGUGGAGUGAAAAUCAAUAAAUACUUUCAUAUUUAUGGUUGUUAAUUAAAAACAAUAUGAUGAACAUUUUUAAAAAUUUGUACCGGUAAUAAUGGAAUUAGCUCUUAUAUUCAACUCUUAUGAGCUAUUUUUGUUGUCAUUAUUAUAUUUUUCUAAACAAAGAUACAGACUAAAAAUGCUGGGUUGUUUUCCUCACCCACUCGUUGGGUAGUUGUGAAUUUUGAGCAGAUUGGGAAACGUUUCCCCAAAACUGGGUUCACUAUUUUGAGCCAGCAGAUUGGGUUGAAGAUUGGAUCUGGGCGGAAUGAAGUGCUGAAGCCGGUUGCCAUUUUGGACACAGCAGCCCCUUCUUCAGCUCCAGAGGAAUGAAGUAGAAAAUGGUAAGAAAAACAUUGAAAACUUAUGACAACAUCUGUGUUUGCAUUGUACCGUAGUUAUGGCUAGCUUCAAGACCCUAGAUUUAGCUUACUUCACCCGCCCUGCUGACCAAAGACAUUUUUGAACAAGUUUCUCUCUAGCUAACUUGAUUGGAGAAUAGCGGACAAAGUAUAUUUCUGUCGGGGCUUUUUGGUCUGUAUGAUUUUAACCAGAGGUGUCGACUCGAGUCAAAUGACUCGGACUUGAGUCAUGAAUUUGAUGACUUUAUGUUUACUGUGUACAUUGACCUUUUGUUUGGUGUUUUACAUAUGGUUAUUUAUAUGUGAGACUAAAAAUGUUUUUUCAUUAUUGAAAGAUGGAUGAGUUUGUCCAGGAAAAGCUGCAAGAGUGCAACCUGGCUGAGUUCAUCCCAAAUUUUGAAGUGUACGUCAGAGCUGCUGGAUCUGCUGGCCUCCCUCAUCCCCCUUGGGGGCCACGCAUGACGUUUCUGCAUCAUUUCAAAAAGUUGUUGGAGCCUGCCAGAAACACGGUGUAGUACCUUUCAAGGGCACCUACAUAGUCCCCAUAUGUUCCGAUGCUGGGGCAGGAGGGCAACUGUUCCCGAGCUUUUUUUUUUUAUCAUCAAUGGGACCCCUUUGGAGCAGCCAUCGCUUAUUAAAGCCGUUGACAUAUGCUUGAAGGCAUACUUUGUGUUUGAGCAUGCACUCAGGUUUGGGAAUUCAUUCAGUCAAUUGUUUUUGAAAUGCCAGGAGAUGUUUCAAAUGUUGUAAAGCUCAUGAGAGCACAACUGAAUGCAAUGCAAGAAUGAUAAGGUUCUGGUGCUUUAAAAGUCAAAGCCGCUCCAUUGGAGCCUCCGGAAUUCAGUUGAGCAAAUUUCUGACGUUCUACUUAUUAAAGUUUUCAUGACCUGUUUGUUUUGAGUGUUGCACUAUACAGCAAAAUGAUUUUGUCUCUGUGAAUUCUGCUUAAGAACUGUUCUGAUGUAAAGAGAGAGAGAGAGAAAAAAAGAAGAAAUAUGCAUACUGGUCUUUAUUUUCUUAACAUUUCCAAAAUAUUGUUGUGCACUGUUUUUUUUUGUUGUGACAGUUAAACUAUAUGUGAUAACCGUUAAAAUAAUGUUUGGAAAAGUACAGUAUUUAGUUGUUUCAUCAUUUAAUAGUAAUUUAUACCAAAUUACAAUUUGCUGAAGUUGAAGUAAAUUGAAUGUAACAUUCUUAGAAAAUGUUAGUAAUCAAAUUAGUAUUUAGUAGUACAGUACAGUAUAUUAUUUUGGUAGCUUUAACGCAUCACUCUGUGCAGUUUCCACCCAUUGUUGUGUCAGAAUCUUGACCCACCGUGCUGGGUAGAAGCAGCCCAGCAUUGGCACGGUCCCUCUUGGACCCAGUGCUCGGCUAGCCAUAUCACCCGAUUUGGGUUACUUUUAACUCAGCAGCUUUAAGAUAGUACCUUUACUUCACGUUACUGUAACUACAAACAUUUGCAAGAAACAAGGCUCUAAGACUUUUUUCCAUGACUAUAUUCAUUAUUUCUAUCUUUAUACGCAGUGGCGUGGAAGGAAGCUGAAGAUAGUUUGUUAAUGAUAAAUACCUGUUACCUCACCAAAAAUAGCAUAUUUUAAUAUCAAAAGCAUAUUAAGCUCUGGUUCUCGUGAACAAAAAAGUAAUUAUUGGCAGAUAAAUCAAAGUAACUGUAAUCUGACUACACUCUAAUAUAAAAGCUAACGCGUUAAAUUACUUAUGUCACCGGACUUGACUUUGUAACGCGUUACCGGCAUAACCCUAUGAAACACUGUAUGCAAAUGUCUGCAUUUCAAUAGAUGGACAUACGCUAUUUAUUUGUUUUUUUUUUAAAGAAGUCAGCCUGGUGCAGGUGAGAGACUGUAAAAAAAAAAAAAAAUACAUUAUAGCAUGGUAAUGAGUUUGUCUUCCUUUCUUUUUUGUGUAGUUGUUAUACUGUUCGUACUGUACUAGAUUUCCAACAGAGUUGUCUAUUACGCAAAUCAAAAGCUGACCUUAUCAACAACAUAUUUCUUCUUUAAUAGAGCUAGAGACUAGCCAAAAUGUUUGAAUACUCCCUCUGAGAUGAAAUACUCAUAUUGUAUUCAUACUGUUACAAAAGGUCUGUGCUUUUCUGACAAUAAACCAGACAGGCGGGGUCCACCCUGAACCGGUUGCCAGCCAAUCGCAGGGCACAUACAAACAAACAACCAUUCGCACUCACAGUCACACCUACGGGCAAUUUAGAGUGUCCAAUCAAUGCAUGUUUUUGGGAUGUGGGAGGAAAGCGGAGUGCCCGGAGAAAAGCCACGCAGGCACGGGGAGAACAUGCAAACUCCACACAGGCGGGGCCGGGGAUUGAACCCGGGUCCUCAGAACUGUGAGGCUGACGCUCUAACCAGUCGUCCACCGUGCCGCCACCUCUUUUUCAUAUUAUUAUUAUUAUUAUUAUUAUAUUUUUAAAGUUUCUUGUACAACAUUCUAAUUUCUUAGAGAUGGUAAAAUGUGGGUAUUCAUUAGCUGUAAGCUAAAAUCAUCCAAAUAGUAAAUCAAAUCAUAAAAUGGUUUUAGUCUGUCGUGAAUUUUUGUAUUUUUUUGAAAUUUUUGAAGUUUUGUCAUUUAAAUGUAUUGAGAACAACGUGUAUUUGCCAAGAACUGUUCGCCCUACGAGGUGAUGCGAUUCUUAACGUACCAUUGAAUGGCUAGCCAGGUUCUAUUCCUGUGCCAUUUUCUCCACGCCAAGGCACUUGUCGCAGUCACUUUUUCAUAGAACAGUCCAUGAUGUAAUGAACAACAUCAUGUGCAUUUUAACAACAGCCAUUUAUGUGUUCCCACCAACGGGAAAUGUCAACGUUUUUCGUAUAUUUCGAUGGCUUGCCAGGUUCUGUUCCUCAGCGCCCUUUUCUCCAUGUUAAGGCACUUGAAAUGAACUUAUAGUGAAUAACAUUUCAUAUUUGGUGGCAUAACCCUUACUUGCAAUAACUGCAUCAAGCCUGCGGCCUUUUGACUUCAGACUGUUGCAUUCUUCACUUUACUUUUCUUCUUCUCUUCUUUGGCCCUCUUUCAGUUCUUGUUUGUUUCUGGGGGGGUUCUCCCUGUAGUCUCCUCUUCAGGAGGUAAAAUGGGUGCUAUUGGGUUAAGGUUGAUUGACUUGGCCAGUGUAAGACCCUCCAAUUAUUCCCCCUGAUUAAGUCCUUUGUUGUUUUGACAGCGUGUUUUUGCGUCAUUGUCUGUUGCAUGCUGAAGGUUCUCCCGAUGAGUUUGGAUGCAUUUUUCUGUAAAUGGUUUUGUAAACUUCAUAAUUGGUUCUGCUGCUACCAUCAUGAGGUACAUCAUCAAUAAAGACUAAUGAGCCUGUUCCAGAAGCAGCCAUGCAAGCCCAAGCCAUGACAUUACCACCAUGCUUCACAGAUGAGCUUGUGUGUUUUGGAUCAUAAGCACAUCCUUUCUUUUGCCAUACUUUGGCCUUUCCAUCACUUCGGUAGAGGUUCAUCUUUGUCACAUCAAUCCAUAAAACCCGUUCUACAACUUUUUUGCAAAAAUCCAAUAUGGCCUUCCGAUUCUUUUUGCUUCAGUGGUAUGGCGCACACAGACACGCACACGGCCGGUCAGAGGGAGGGUCGCCGCCCUUCACUAUCUCUGAGCUGUUCAUAGUCCACGAUGGGUUUCAUGUGUCUGCUUUCAAGUCGCUGACUUUUCUUUUUCUUCCUCAAAUGGCUGGGCGUACACGUGCACCCUUUGCUUUUUUUUUUGCUGCACCAUUUCAAAAUUAGUCACACCCUCGAGCCCUGUCUUCACAAAAAAAAUAAAAAUAAUAAAUAAAUCAUACGUCGGAUUUCCAACACCACGCCAGAGUACUUUAAGCCAUAGCUCUGCGUCCGAAAAUGCAGAUUGAUCUUACUUUAUGCGUCCUUGCUAGUUUCUGUGCGUCUCAGACGUGAGACGCAUACCAAACGAGAACCCUGCUUAAUAUUGUGUAUUUCAAGCUUUCAAGCUGUUUAUGCAAGCUUUUAGUGUGCAGUAUUCAUGUAUUUUGACUGCAUUUGAUUUCUGCCAUUGCAAACAAUACAUUGUGCACCCACUCGGUGCAAUGCUGGUUUUCAUUGCGUACAGAGCCAUGACACUCAAAAAGUGUCAUGGCUUUUUUCACCACUUCUUCUCAAACUACCCGAUUUCCAGAGAGGUCUCCGACGACAAGUGUAGCCAGUAUCCGGGUUGGAGCACUCCAAGCUGUUGUCUCAUGCUAUCGGUGCGAUUGAUCUCCUGCUGGUAACCCUGACUCUCGUGUGCAUCAAACGCUGAGUUUCCCUAACAACAACCCUUUUUUUUUUAAACUACAGGUACUAAUAAAAACUGGCACCGUGCUAUUUUUUUUUAUAUCAAAAUACCUCAGUAUGGUACUGCUUAUCUCUUUAAGGCAUUUGCAGUUUGGCUUUUGCAAUAAACCACACCCAAGUACCUGCAACUCAUUAAAAUCUGAAAACUGAAUGAUCAAUUAUGUUAGCGUUACUCAAUAUGAGAAAGAAUACCAAACAAUGCAAAACACAUAAUUCUGAUAAUAAUCUCAAUGCAGCCAAUGGGUCAAACUCACACAUUUCCAUAUCCUUUCACACUAUCAUAACUCUUGACUUAAAAGAGUGAAACUCUGUGACGGAAGCUAUUUCAGUGAAGCGGGAUUCGGAAUAUUGAUGAGUCAGAUUAGCGGUGGAUGUUGAGAAUCAAUCCAGUUGAAGAAUGAGAUUGUCUGAGGCCGUGCAGUGGCCAAGCUUUUUCUGCUUCUCCUCAGCGACUACACGUGAGAAGCCUUCCUAAAAGAUGUUUGUCUGCAGCCGGAAUUCCUCUACCUGGCCGACAGCAUAUGUUGAUGAACCCAAAGAACUGGGCAAAUUUACAUAUGGAUAGCCAAAAACAUACUCUUGACAUAAUUAGUAUGAUGAUCAGCACCAUCUAUUGUAAAAGAGGUCACAAGAGACACAAGAGGUCAAAACAAAUUUUGUAAUUACUGAUCAUAAAUCUUAUGGAGAUAACAUUAACAUACAAAUAUGGCAUUGUACUUUGUCCAUACUGGUAAGCGCCAAUCUCAACAUCCAUAUGAGCCGAGGUGUGUCUUAAUACGCUAAAUUUACUCCGUUACAUUUACUCAAUAAUAUUUACUUUUCAGCGCAGUUCUUCUGCAACAUAUUUUUUACUUGUAUAUGGGUAUUUUUAUGAAGAAGAAACGGUACUUUUACUCUGUUACAUUGAUAUACAUUUCACUUGCUACUUUUAUUUUUGCGCAAUCUAUAUGUUUUGGUUUGUCAGAGAGACUUCUGCCUUGAGCACUGUCACGUGACUCUGUUUCACCAAUCCCACGGAAGUACUCGUGACUUUUGACUUCUUUUGACCACUCGAAUGGUUAUUUUCACACUGACAUCCACAAGAGGGCGCUCUAGGCCUGACGAAAGCGACGUAAAAGAGGAAGCGGUGCAUCAUCUACCUCCGGAGUUGGCGGACUUGUUUAGAAGUGACACCGAGGAUGAAGAUUUCAUUGGAUUUAGUGAUCCGGAGUGACACUGAUGGUUUGGUAAACUUGUUAGCAUGUUCUUUAUGCUACAGUUAUCUGAAUAACUGUUCCAAUGUUACGUUAACAUACCAGGCACGUUCUCAGUUCGUUGUUUUUGCGUCAUGUAACGUUAGCUGAAUGUGUUACGUUAGCAUACCGUACACCUAUUCAGCCUGUUGUUCUCUCUUCUAUUUUUAUUUUAAAUUGCCUUUCAAGAUGACAUGUUUGUUCUUGGUGUUGGAUUUUAUCGAAUAAAUUUCCCCCCAAAAAUG